AAAGUCGUAACAAGGUCUCCGUAGGUGAACCUGCGGAGGGAUCAUUUUUGAUUGUUUUUAAACAGAACAAAACUCUGUUUUUUAACUUUUGAUGGGAUGUUUCUUUGAUAAAAAGGACCGUGGAUACGGUAGUGGUUGUGGUGUUUCCUAUCAAAUUUAUAUUGAUGGGAACGCCCAAUCUUUUGAACAAGUGGAAUAGUGAAAUGAAUCCUAUCAAGGUUAAACUUGAUGGAAUGGAACACAAAGUCUAUACACAUUUCGGUGUGGUUGUAAAAUUUACAACUUUUGGCAAUGGAUCUCUUGGUUCUC
rnacentral:misc_RNA from 1 species